AAGUCGUAACAAGGUUUCCGUAGGUGAACCUGCGGAAGGAUCAUUCACAAACGAGUGUUUUAUGGCACUCUUUAAAAAUCCAUAUCCACCUUGUGUGCAAUGUUUGUUGGGAAAGUCUUUUCUUUCCCUUCAUAAAUAUCAACCUAUAUCUUUAACAACAUUCGUCUGAUAACAUAUUAUGAAUAUACUUAAUUCAAAAUAUAACUUUCAACAACGGAUCUCUUGGCUCUCGCAUCGAUGAAGAACGCAGCGAAAUGCGAUACGUAAUGUGAAUUGCAGAAUUCAGUGAAUCAUCGAAUCUUUGAACGCAUAUUGCGCUCUUUGGUAUUCCGAAGAGCAUGCUUGUUUGAGUAUCAGUAAACACCUCAACCUCUCUUUUUUGAUAAAAAAAAGGGAGGGUGGACUUGAGCUAUCCCAACGACCUUCACCGGUAGGCGGGCGGCUUGAAAUGCAGGUGCAGCUGGACUUUUAUCUGAGCUAAAAGCAUAUCUAUUUAGUCCUCGUCAAACAGGAUUAUUACUUUUGCUGCAGCUAACAUAAAGGAUAAUUGUCCUCUUUGCUGACUGAUGCAGGAUUUUACGACACUUUAUGUGUUGUUCAACUCGAUCUCAAAUCAAGUAAGACUACCCGCUGAACUUAAGCAUAUCAAUAAGCGGAGGAAAAGAAACUAACAAGGAUUCCCCUAGUAACGGCGAGUGAAGCGGGAUGAGCUCAAAUUUGAAAUCUGGCUGGUUUACUAGUCCGAGUUGUAAUUUAAAGAAGCGUUUUCGGUGGCAGCCUGGGUAUAAAUCCUUUGGAAUAGGGUAUCAUAGAGGGUGAGAAUCCCGUCUUUGACCUAGUGCAUGCUACUAUGUGAUACGUUUUCAAA
rnacentral:sRNA from 1 species